GCCCAGCAGAGAGAAAUCCUUCUUCCUGCACAAGCUUUCCUUUAAUGAUGGCUAAUUAACCUGGUGCUAUGUUAAAAAUUUACUAUAGUUAUCAUGUCUGACUCAGUUCUUAUUCAUUGCUAUUCAAGAGCAUAACAGAGAUAACUUGCCUUAUUUUCAUCUGUGUUCAUGUAGUUCGGCUUGGGUAGAGGGUUAAACGAACUCCAAGACUUUAGUUCUCUUAGAUCAUGUACAGGAUGCUGAUAGUUUUACCAGAUUUGUCUGGAUCCCUCGUGCAGAGUCAGGACUUCCCUGUUCUUUAGAUCAGCGCUUUCCUGGCUGAGCUCCAGCUCAGCCUGCACGCUAAAAUGACAGCCUGUAUCUGGAAAGAAGCCAGUCAUGCCCACUCAGCACUCACAGGGGAAUCCUUCAUUCCAGGGAAAUUCGUACUGGGAAAGAAUGAAAAUAAAAACCAAACAUCUACCUGAUGCAAAAGUAAUA